UGGGGAAUAUUGCACAAUGGGGGAAAACCCUGAUGCAGCGACGCCGCGUGAAGGAAGAAGUAUCUCGGUAUGUAAACUUCUAUCAGCAGGGAAGAAAGUGACGGUACCUGACUAAGAAGCCCUGGCUAACUACGUGCC
rnacentral:rRNA from 1 species